GACGAACGCUGGCGGCGUGCUUAACACAUGCAAGUCGAACGGGCCUGUCUUCUUUUUUGGGGGUGGGUUGAGUGGCGAACGGGUGAGUAUCACGUGAGUAACCUGCCCUUCGGUCCUGGAUAACCGCUUGAAAGGGCGGCUAAUACGGGGUGGUCCGGUUGGUCCGCAUGGGCUGGUCGGGAUAGAUUCACUGUUUUUGGUGUUUCGGCGGGGGAUGGGCUCGCGGCCAAUCAGCUUGUUGGUGGGGUGAUGGCCUACCAAGGCGGUGACGGGUAGCCGGCCUGAGAGGGUGGGCGGCCACACUGGGACUGAGAUACGGCCCAGACUCCUGCGGGAGGCAGCAGUGGGGGGUAUUGCACAAUGGGCGGAAGCCUGAUGCAGCGACGUCGCGUGAGGGAUGGAGGCCUUCGGGUUGUGAACCUCUGUUUCCGGUGGUGAAGGCCCUGUCCGUGUGGUGGGGUUGACGGUAGCCGGGGAUGAAGCGCCGGCUAACUACGUG
rnacentral:rRNA from 1 species